UACGAAGGGGGCUAGCGUUGCUCGGAAUCACUGGGCGUAAAGCGCACGUAGGCGGAUUGCUAAGUCAGGGGUGAAAUCCUGGAGCUCAACUCCAGAACUGCCUUUGAUACUGGCGACCUUGAGUCCGGGAGAGGUGAGUGGAACUGCGAGUGUAGAGGUGAAAUUCGUAGAUAUUCGCAAGAACACCAGUGGCGAAGGCGGCUCACUGGCCCGGUACUGACGCUGAGGUGCGAAAGCGUGGGGAGCGAACGAG
rnacentral:rRNA from 1 species